rnacentral:lncRNA from 1 species
UUGUGCCGUGCAUUGCACUGAAGUUGACCCACCACAAUGAUAGCAAAUGUCGUAUGCUGCUGAGGUGCUUUCCUCUAUGAGAUGUUUGUUUGUUUGCAGGACAUGCUUCCCUGUACCUAAUAAUAGUGUAAGUGUAGACUAUUUAUAUAAUGUCUGUGUCCUACGAAUGUCUACUCUUUUUAACAAAAACAAUGUUUCCUCUGCUCAAUGAUCAUCAGAUUUUCCAAUGCAUACUCUAUCUGGCUCUGAGAAUGAGUUCAACCAAGAUGAGCUACCAUUUGCACUGGUAAUGGUGAUUCUCCAAAACUGUCUUUUUAUAUGCUGUAUUUAGAAAUAGAGUUUAAGAUAUUCCGCAUAUAUGUAAACAUAGAAUUCUCACUUCUACUAAUUGUGGUUAUUCUAGAACCUGAGACGACAAAGGAUGACAUUCUUACAACAUAUGUCUUAAUAUUAAUGAUUUAGAUAUCGUGAAGGAGAAGGAGGUGCCGAAAGGGGAUGGGAGCAACAAGUUUGAUUCGAAAGAGGUAUACCCAUCUGACUGCAGACUGCUCUUAAUACAUUCUUCCCUUGGCCAUGCUGUAAUGUUUACGUCUUUCCACUUAUCAAAUUUUAGUUCAAUUUGAAGUGAUCAUAUUGGAAUACAUUUUCCAGUCCUUCGAGUUGUUGCAUGAAUAAAUGACAACGUAUUAGCAUCACAACCGAAGAAUAACAGAAAUCGUCUUAUCAAAAGAUGGUGCACUGGGACUAAUAACUAACCAUAGCAGUGAGGUCUUUGCGGUUCAUUCCUGGGCCUAGCGAGUCGAGCACCUGGAUACGUCGCACCCCGCUAUUUAUAACUCCUAGGUACCAAUGAAAGUCUUUAAUGUUUACUGGAACAUAUAUCUGUAAAUAGAGUUUUUGUUAGUUUAGGUCCCAUCUGUAGAAACAUUCAUCCAUGAUUGAAUUCAUAGUAAUAUGUAAAGAACCGAGACUCACCAUAUCAUGUUCCAAAUAAGUUUUAGCUCUGUCUAACACCCAUCUUAGUGUGUCAUCCCGUAUAAACUUAAAUUCCUUUAUCAGCUUAGAGAUGCAUGCAUUCUCUAAGAACACACUUCCACCCGUCCUCAUCUUUAGAUGCUCUUUAGCACUUAUGCAAUGUAUGUAUGCGUCUAUGAUCUGUAAUAUGAAGUGCACACCUUGGUCAUAGGACAAAAUAGUAACUCAUGUUCAAAUAGCAUCGUCUCGUCAUAAAGCUACAUAUACUUACUUCUCGCCAAGAAAUUCUCCAGGGAAUAAAAGACGUUCCAACUGUCUUCUUUGGAGAUUUGAGUCGUCAAUGCUCACUAAAGUUCUUUUAUCAUUUGGUUCAGACAUGAUAUUUUCAAUCACGGACCAAUCAUCGCCGGUGUAGGCGUAAUCUAUCAUGAUGGAAGUAAUAACGUUUAUUAAUAACGAGGAAAACAAAUGUAGCAAAACCAGGGCAUAGAAAGAUUUGUCUGUGCCUUCUGGAGCCACCACGUAGUCUUGUGCCUUCUUAGGUUUGUUAUGCAGUCGGAUAGGCUUCCAUGUUUGCCCGGGCAUUGGCAGCUUGUCCCCUAUAAUUUCUGCCCCUUCCCUGCCGGACGUUUGUUCUAAUUCUUCGUCCCCACAUGCCUCCAUUUUUUUACUUGUUUCGUUGUUUGUUAAUUCCUGAGAGCAACAUAUUAAAGAAUCAUCUGUAUGCAAGAUAUAAUAGAAUUAGAAUUAGAACUAUUUGGGACAUAGUUGGAAUUGAAAAGAUACCUCUGUCACUUCGGAGAGUCCAGAAUCAGUGGACUGCGUGCUCUUAUUUUCCUCCAAUUCAUCUUUGCCGGCUAUUGCAUUUGAAUCUGCCAGAUUAUCCCCUAUAGUUUCUGCCCCUUCGGUGCCCCAUGUCUGUUCUAAUUCCUCGUCCUGAACUUGAUGCAUUUGUUCACUUGUUUCCUUGAAGGUUAUUUCCUCAGAAAAGUUGACUUUCGCAUUAGAACUAUUUAUUUAGCAGAUAGUUGAAAAAGAAAAGAUGACUUUGCCACCUCGGAAUGAGUGGACUGUGUGCUCUUCUUUUUCUCCUCUUCAUCUUUGUCGGCUCGUACAUUUGAAUCUGCCAAGUUGUCCCCUAUAGUUUCCUCCCUUCGGUGUCGAACAUUUGUGCUAAUUCAAUGUCUUGAGUAGGCUGCAUUUGUUCACUUGUUCUCUGCCUUGUUAAUUCCUGAGAGCAACAUUACAAAGAGUAAUCCCUAUGCAGAAUAUAAUUUAAUUAGAUUAUAACUAUUUGGGAUACUUUGAAAAGAAAGCAUGCAUGUGUCACUUCGCAAUCAGUGGCCCGCGUGCUAUUCUUUUUUUCUACUUCAUCUUUGUCAUUUAUUCCACUUGAUUCUUCCUUGAUUAGUAAAUGAAAGACACAAUAAUAUAAUAUUAUACAGUAUGUAGUCCAUAUAAAAGAGAGAAUAUUAUGAAGGUGAGUAAACAGUUUUAUAUUUGAUAUCAUAGCACAAAUUACAUAUUGUUUUGUCCCGCCAGAAUAACAAUAAUAAUGACAUGUGAAAAUAUAAUAAUGACCUCAGUAAUAUGUAUGUUUUCUAUAUCAUCCAUGAUGGCUUGUUGUUCUAUUGUCUUUGAUGACUCGGGGUUCACAUCCUCGUCUUUCGUUAUCAUGCCUUCAGUCUGCAUAUUUUCCGCAUGCUUGUCCUUGCCUUCCUCGUCCAUGUUUUCCUGAAAACCAAAGCAUAUAUUAGUAUUAGUUUCUCGUCCAUGCUUUGUUUAGAAAUGAAUCGUCCGUGCUCACUAAACGUCUUUGUUUGCUUGGUUCGGUUUUGAUAUUUUCUACCACGGACCAACCAUUGCCAGUGCAGGAAUAAUCUGUCACAAUGCCCAUAAUAACAUUUAAUAAAAUAAAAACAAUAAAAUUUAGCAAUAGGACAUUGAAGGUUUUGUUCUGUGCCUUGGGGAUAAACCACAUAGUCUUGUGCCUUAUUAGGCUUGUUAUGCUGUCUAAUAUGUUUCUUUAUCUGCAUAGGCAUUGUUAUCUCGUCCUCUAUAAUUAUUUUUUCUAUGAUUUUAACCUAACACGACAUUUUAAAUAAUAGAAACAUCUGUACCAGCUGAAAUAUAUGGAUCUUCUAUAAUGGUAUCAUACAGUAUUUUCGAAGACAAGGAUUUGUAUUAAACAUGCUGUCAUUUGGCACCAAUUUUGCAGUGCAUAAAGCCAUUGGUAAGAAUCCUAAUGUGCAGUGUCUACUAAUAUAUAAAAAAAGGUUUAAUAUUGUACACUCCAUACUAAUUGGAAAGGGAAAUACUCCAUACUUUUUUGAAAAUAUAUACACUGUACUCUCUAAAAAAUGGCGUCACAUCCGUUUUAUGGCCAUACUACGUCUCUUUUUUCGUAUAUUAUGUGCCACUGUUUGAAUAUACUCUUUUUUGGAUGAAUAUACUACUCACUUGGAUCCAAAGAAAAAAGGUUAUAUGAUUUUUUGGAACUAAUAAAAUUCUAUACUCCAGUUUCAAAAGGAAAUACACAUAUACUCCAUACUAAAUUUUAUAAUAUACUCCAUACAGUACAAAUAAGAGCACUAUGUACUCUUCCUUACCUGUGUACUUGAGACGGUGCGGCCACCAGGGCGAGGACGGUGUGGACACUGGAGCUAGGGCAGCGCACGGGGAUGGGACGAGGUGUCCUCGUGAAGCCGCCACCGGUGCGACGACGACGUGGACAGCAGAUUUAGGGCAGCUCGCCGGGAGGGGCCGAGGUUUCCUCGAGACAGCACGGGCAGCGGGGGAAAGGACCAGGAGAGUGGAAGAGAGGUGGAGGAGAGAUGAGGGAAGAGGGAAGGUCCAUGAGGGGAUCAGGGAAUGAGAUCGUGGACUGCCGCGUCGUGGGAAGGAGAUCGUGGACUGCGGGAUUCUAGGGAGGGAGAUCCGAAAUUGUUGGGAUCGUGGACCUUUAUCUUUUUUUAUACCCCAUGCUUUUCCUUUUUCUUUUUUAUUAUACCCCACACAUAUAGAAUUCAUGGAAUUUUUUCGUAAUACAUUUUAACAUACUAAUAUUUGUUUCGGCUCAUCGGAUAAUUUUAUGGAAUUUUUAUGUGCUCAUUGUUAUACAUUUUUAUAUAGAAAAAAAUUAUCUUUUUCUGUACCGUAAUAUAAUUCUUGUAUCAUUUUGUCUUGGCAGAUAGUUAAUGGACAUGAGUUUUCAGGGAAGUAAUUUCGGUUGUUCGAGCAAAACGGAAACCAUCAAGGUGAGUUUCGUUGCUAUGUAUUAUUAUUGUUGUUGCUGAUCGUGCCUAAAAUCGGUGCUACAGCUGCAUCAAAGUAAGUGUUGCCAUGUAAAAAAUUUGAGAAGAGAAUCAUAAUAUAUAGUAGCGAAUACAUCUUCAGCAUGUACCUAGAUAACAAGAUUGGAGUAUUUCACAUCAACUAAUGGUAGUACUACCACAAUUAGGUCCUGAAACAAUACACUACACGAAAAUAGCAAAAGCCUGUAAGUAUGAUAGAUACAUCAUACCCAAAUUGGAGCCUGAUCAUCAUAACAGGAAAAUAUGAUGGCCCAAAAUCGUAGCCGAAAUCAGUUACACUAAAACGAGCGCAAUCGCUUGAUCAUCACAGCAGGAAAAUGCGAUGGCCCAAAUAUAGAUAAUGAGCGAGUGAAUAGCAAAAGACAAUAAUUAUGAUAGAUACAUCAUCUUAUUAAGACCACAACAUAUUAACUUUGUGAGCCCCGUCUUCAUGUGAUGUGUUGUUUCUUUCUCCUCUUUCUCACUUAAUAUGCACCUCGACACUCAAUCUGUCGUGUGCCUCUUCCAGUAUUUUGGGACGGAGGGAGUACCUUUGCAAAAUAUAAAUGCAAGCACAUGAGAUGAUUGGAUAACGUUCCCGAAUCUAUAUCGAGUACUCCUUGCAUUAAAAAUAUCUGACAUUUUCAAAUUCAACAUUAAUCUGAUAUUUGCAAGACUGGACAUCAUUAGAGAAAAAUAUUAGAACCCCGACAAUAGCAGUGAGAUUCAUAGCAUCAGCUAAUCUCACAAAUGUUGGUGAUAAGUAACUAUUUUGCUCAUGUUUAGCUUCUCGAACUAAUCAUUCUGCCUUGAUUCAUUUAUUGCUUAAUUUUCAUGAUCAAAAGAAAGGAAAUAUCAUGAAAGUAACACAUCAACCUGCACGGCAGAAAUUAAACAGAUUCUAGGCAAACUAAACAUUUCAUUUAUUACAAAGAUGUUGUAAAAGAAGAGAAAGAGGUAAACCCACUACACUUUCAAAAAGGUAGGCACCAUUAUUUAGCUGCCACUACACCGUUAGCUGGCCAAGACAAAGAUCAACCCAGUCGUUGCUACGGCUAUGUUUAUCUUUCUUGUUAGUUAGGUACAAGACGAAAAGACGGAAGUGUAUGCACUAUAAAGAAUACAGAAUGCAUCUGUGUCAACUACUCAACCUACCUGUAGCACAUAUGCUUCCCAUGAACAGUUGAUUCCAGUUUUUCCAUUCAGACAUCCAGUUACUUGCCAAUCAAAUGCGAAACAAAUUGUAUUAUAUGUUUGGCAUCAGAAUUUUUUUUAACAUUUAGCAUUUAGCUCAUAUUAUCUAAAAAAGAUUUACCCUACGUUUGCCAGCAAGUUUUUUUUUUAAGUUCUCAGAGCGUACUGCGUUAUUUUUAAAUAUUUAGGCUCAUAAUAUACUUGUUGAACCAAUAUGUUUGGCAACAGAUUUUUUUUUAACAUUUAGGCUCAUAAUAUACUCGUUGAACCAAUCUGUUUGGCAGCAAGGUUUUUUUAAAGUUUUCAGAGCAUACUGCUAAAAACAAAUUCACUGGUCAAAACUUUAAAGUUUUCAGCAAGUUUUUUAAACACAUGUCCGUCCAUGAAAAAACCAUAUUAGCAGGAGAACAUAUUAGCAUACCCUUAGCUCAUUUAGCACAAAAAGUUGCACAACAGUUCAAAACAGUAGCACAAGAACACAGUAGCAUACAUUUAUAUCAAAGGGGGAUCACAUGCAGAAGCAGAGAAAGGCUCUUACCUUUUGCUGGAUGGAAGAAGAUAUUCCUGUGUUACCCCCUCAUCCGCUACUUCUUCUCAUUUGUUAAGCUUGUAAAUGAAAAACAAUUAACGUUAAAUGCAGGAGUAGUUUCAGAUAAAUUAACAUAUUCAUGUGUGCAAAUAAAUAAUGGAAUAACGCACCUCCCUCAUCUCUCAAAACAUCUCUAUAGACAAUGUUCUUGGUGAUUUUCCCAGAUUUAUCAACCUCCUUGUUUGGCUUGUCCAAAAUCCGUGUCGUCUCCCUCGACACCCCCCUUGACAAUGCAACAUAUAGCUGACCAUGUGACAAUACUGGCUCGGGAAGGUAAAUACCGACGUUCGGGAUCGUUUGACCUUGCGCCUUGUUAAUUGUCAUUGCAAAACUCAGGCGGAUGGGGAACUGUUUUCUUUUAAGUUUGAAAGGAAGUGAGAUGUCCUCCGAGGGCGACAUAGGGAUCCUAGGUAUGAACACCCUCUUUCCAGCAUGCUGACCACCAACAAUCUCUGCGUCGAUUGCAUUAUCCUGGAAGGCUCUAAUCAUAAGCCGUGUUCAUUGCAUAGGCCAUUAUAUGGGUCGAGUUUCCGUAGCAGAAUGACCGGACAAUUGACCUUUAAUCUCAAUACAUGCGGGGGCAAGCCAUUUGGUGCGAUCGAGUUUAGAAAAUCAAUCGUGUAAUUAUUCUGCAUGUCAUCCUCGAUUGAGUCGAAACUAUGGUAUAGCUUUUCUUCGCCUGGAAACCUUGAGAUCAUCUUGUCAUUCAGGUCAUCGACAUGAUCGUUCUUGGUCGAAAGAAUAGCACGUAUGCUCAUGUACUCUCUCGAUUUAGCAUUGGCAUGCAAAGAUGGGAAGACAUCUUCGAUGAGCUUGUUCAUAGCUUUCUCAUCCUCGGUAUAGGCAAUCACAAUGUCGUUAGGGAGACGCACAUAGUCGUCACCAAUUGUCUCUUCUAUACCAUUGCCGAUCCUCAGGAGGUAUUCGGAGAACCAAGGAUCAGCAUGUGCCCGCAUAUUGCGCGUGAGGCGUAUCUUGCGGAUCUUCUCCCACGGAUAGGAUCUUAGAAGUGUAGCAUCUGUGAUUUGUGCUCUUGUCCCACGUGUCACAACAGGAAGGACCUGCCUGAAAUCCCCACCAAAGACUACAACCUUUCCCCCAAAUGGCAAAGGACAUCCCAUUAUAUCCUGAAGCGAUCUAUCAAGCGUCUCAACUGCUUGACGUUUUGUCAUAGCAACCUCGUCCCAAAUAAUCAAUGACGCCUGCUUAAGCAACUCCGUUGUACCACUCUGCUUAGUGAAACUACACAUGGUGUUGUCGAUGAGCUUGAUUGGAAUUUUGAACCUGGAGUGCGCAGUCCGUCCUCCGGGCAUUAUUGACGCCGCUAUCCCUGAUGUAGAAGUUGCGAUCGCUAUCUGGCCCAUCGAACGCACCUUCGCAAGCAAUGCCUUGUAUAAGUAUGUCUUUCCAGUGCCUCCUGGACCGUCAACAAAGAAUAUCUGGCUUUUUUUUUUCAUCACAUGAUCCAUUAUGUCAUUGUAACCAGCAAGCUGCUCAUUGUUCAAACUGCUAAAUAAAUCUAGGUGUUCUUUGUCCACGCUGAUUUCCCUCUCCUCUGUUACCCCUUUGUACUCACCGUCAUCAGAACCAUCGGUGUCAAGCAAAUCCGGAAGUCCAUAGCCUGCAAUAUCCUUCCCCAUGGAUUGCAACAUAUCCCUAAUAUCGCUGAGGACCAUCUGCUCAAGUGCUGCAUCAUUGGAUUGAUUACGACGGUAAUCAUCAGACAUCGAUGCUAGAUGUUUGUCCCAUAGAUGUCGGAUUUCUGUUACCUCACAAAACACCAGUAUAGUCGCAAAUAACCGUCUCAGGGCAGAAGGCAUCUGAAAUGUGGUUGCCUUCGUCAUGCAAUCAUCGAGAGUUCUAUCGUGCUCAAUCAGGCCUAAGUGCUCACAUGCCUCCCUGAAGGAACUGCAUGGAUUGCCAUUUACAGUUUUUAAAGCAUCGAAUGAAGUGGCACCUCGGGCAUGACUUAGGAGCACACGCAAGUAGUAUCUUUCUCCUUCAGCACGGUGUGCAUACACAAGUCUUCCAAUCUGUAAUCUCUUAGUUUUUCUGUUCUGCCACUUUUUUUCCAGGUAUCCAUCUGUAAUGUUCUGGAAACUCUCUGUACAAUAAGUUCCGUGCUACUGGAAACUUCCGGUUCAUCUCAAAGUAUUCUGUAAGCAUGGACUUGGAAGAAGACGGUCGUGCUACAACAUCUUCCAGAUUUUCACAAGCUUUAAAUGCAACUGUAUGCAUAUUUGGCAAAUGAAGGUGGAGUUGUAGCACAGAUGGACUGACACCAAACAGUUUAAAAUGAAAAUUCCUGUAUAUAGCCUCUGGAGGAGAUACAUAGCAUGCAUCCCUAUAUUGCCGGAUUUCAUUGAUGAUUCCACCAUCAUUGAUGAUAUCUUGCUCGCAUGCAAAGGAUGUACGAUCAUGCCCUUUAUAGAUGUACGUGAACAAGUACUUGACUGCCUUGAUGCUGGAGCAUGCUUCUACAUUAAUGUGGCAGUUGUAUCGCAUAAGCAGAGAAGGGUUGUAAGGGACCACCCACCUAUUUUCCAAAUCUGCUCCUCGGAUCCUAAUCCGCUGCCCAUCGUCCCUCCUCGUGUAGAUGGGAUAUGAGUCUUUCCCUUGCUAUGUGGCAUCGCAAAAAUCUCGGGGGUAAUGGAACCGACACUGUCCAUCAAUCAUGCAUGGGCAACUUUUUUUCAACUCACCACAUGGUCCGUGCAACAUGUGUUUGACGACCAGAUCAUGUAGAAUGGGGUGUUUCUGUUUGUCAGGUAUCUCUGCACAUAUCACCCGAUCAUAGUCAUCUGGAGUCGCUAACUUGCUUUUUGCUUUCAUGAUUAGAAGUACAUGGUCAUGCGGGAGACCUCGCUUUUGAAACUCGGUGACAUGUACAUAGGC